GACGAACGCUGGCGGCGUGCUUAACACAUGCAAGUCGAACGGAAAGGCCCUGAUUGUUUGUUUUGCUCGAGUGUCGAACGUGUGUGUAACGCGGGAGUAUCCGGCACUCGAGUGUGGGAUGACUUCUGGAAGCGGGUGCUAGUACCGGAUGGGUGGUCCUGCUGCAUGAGGGGGGUUGGUAGGUUUCGGCGGUGGGGGAUGGACUGGCGGCUUAUGAGCUUGUUGGUGGGGUAGUGGCUUACCAAGGCUUUGACGGGUAGCCGGCCUGAGAGGGUGACCGGCCACGUUGGGACUGAGAUACGGCCCAGACUCCUACGGGAGGGAGCAGUGGGGAAUAUUGCACAAUGGGAGGAAGCAUGAUGCAGUAACGCCGCGUGCGGGAUGACGGCAUUCGGGUUGUAAACCGCUUUCGCAUGUGACGAAGCGUGAGUGACGGUAAUGGGUAAAGAAGCACCGGCUAACUACGUG
rnacentral:rRNA from 1 species